UACGUAGGGACCAAGCGUUGUCCGGAAUCAUUGGGCGUAAAGAGCGUGUAGGCGGCUUGUUAAGUCUUGCGUGAAAUCUCGGGGCUCAACCCCGAGCGGUCGUGAGAAACUGGCAGGCUAGAGUGCGGGAGAGGAGAGUGGAAUUCCUGGUGUAGCGGUGAAAUGCGCAGAUAUCAGGAGGAACACCGGUGGCGAAGGCGGGUCUCUGGGCAGUAACUGACGCUGAGGAGCGAAAGCGUGGGGAGCGAACAGG
rnacentral:rRNA from 1 species